rnacentral:rRNA from 1 species
AAACUUAACACAACUGGUAGCAUUGGAUCCCUUGGCACGCCAUUCGAUGAAGAACGUUGCAAACUGCGAUAAGUGAUGUGAAAUGCGAGUCCAAAACUUAUACGUGAAUCAUCGAAUCUUUGAACGCAUUGCAUCGAGCUUUGCCCAAGCACGAUAUGCCCCAUUGAGC